rnacentral:rRNA from 1 species
UACGUAGGGGGCAAGCGUUGUCCGGAAUUAUUGGGCGUAAAGAGCGUGUAGGCGGCCAGAUAAGUCCGCUGUGAAAUCUCGAGGCUCAACUUCGAGCUGUCGGUGGAAACUAUCUGGCUAGAGUCCGGAAGAGGAGAAUGGAAUUCCUGGUGUAGCGGUGAAAUGCGUAGAGAUCAUGAGGAAGACCAGUGGCGAAGGCGGGUCUCUGGACAGUUCCUGACACUGAGGCACGAAGGCCAGGGGAGCAAACGGG